ensembl:lncRNA novel transcript
GAUCGUCGAAUCUGUUGACCUGGCGCCACCGGAAAAAGAAAUUCCCGGGCCCUGGCUUCUUGGCCUGAUGGGCUUCCAGGAGAGGGGAUGCAGGCCGAUGCCACCUCCACCCCUGUCGCUCUAGGGGAGAAGGCAGAGCUGGUGCUGUAUGAAGUUUGGCUGCAGAUCCUGGGCCAGCCCUACACCAAGGCCUUGGAGGACAAAACCAGCCUUGAGUUCUGGGCACUUCAGGGGCAACCGACAAGAUGGGCACUGCUAGCCUUGAAGCCUCCAGCCUGCUGGAUGCCUCCAUCCCCGGCUAUGCUGUGGCUCUCCUCAUUCUAGGCCUCCUGCUCGUCACAUUCACCCUUGUCCUGGUGCUAAAGUGGAGGGCCUCCCAUGGGGUGUUCAGCCUGGGUGUGUAGAAGCACACAGUGUGGUACAGAGGACCCUCUCCAGACAGGUGACCCCUCAUGCUGCUGCUCCCUCUGCUGAAACCCAAACUGCAAACCUCUCCUCUCCCUGCCUUCACCUUGCCCCACGGCUUCCACAGACAGUGCCUCAACCCCGAGGAAUGAAUCCGAAGUUCCAACACCACUGACUUUCCCAGGAACUCAGAGCCAGAGAGGGCCAAGGACCAGCUCGAGGACACACAGCCAGGGCUUCUUCCCUCCGAAACCCCCAAGGACUGGACUUGCAGGGCUGGGACAGAGGUGGGGUGGGGGAAAGCAAUGCCUUGUCAACCCACGUGGGGAGCCCCACUCCCAUCCCCAAGGUGCAUAAAGUUGAGGAACACCCCUG